GUCAUUAUUUAGACUUAUUUAGAAAUCGAAAGACUCUGUGUCUGAAGUCACUCACUACUCACUAUAUAGUGAACUAUUGAGCUCGCUAUUUUGUAGUGCUGUCCGAAUGUAUAGUGUUAAUUAUUAUAUCCUAUAUAGUCCACUCAGUGUAUCCCAGAAUGCAUUUUGAAAAGUAGUGUACAACUGAUGGCCACUAACCAAGCCCUAUACCAUCAUGCAUUGCGCUGAUAGAAAAAAAACAGUCCACCAACUGAUUGUCCAACGGCAAUGACGUAAUUAUCGGUGUAGAAAUGAUGAUCGGCGUAGUGCCCGAAAGUGUUGGUUUAAUAAUGCGGGUGAGCUCACUUUAUAGUCCUCUACAUACAACUCCCUACAUAGGGAUUAGGGAGUAGUAAAUGAGCUGUGAUUUCGGACACAGUAUAAGAGACUUUGAUAGUUUUAUUUUGAAGGUUGCCACCGGAACUGUGCUAUUACGUUUGUUUUGACAGCUUGACAUGGUAAAGUAGACUUAAAACGCGUCGAAUAACAAUCACUGUCCAUAGCUGUAACACUGUAACAUAGGCAACGUGGGGUUGAAGUUGUCAAAAAAAAGGAACACAUUUUCCAUGCUUUGGUUUGAGCGUUCUCAGCGGAAGUGUCUGUAGUGAUAAGGGUUGAGUAGACUCACUACUCCGGUGAAAAGUCCCACUUAAAUUAGUUGUGUGCAGGGUUAAGUCUUGCAGGUGACUGGUCGGUGGCCUCGGCGUGAAAAUAGAAAUCUUUCGACGAGGAUGGGAUUCGAACCCACGCGUGCAGAGCACAAUGGAUUAGCAGUCCAUCGCCUUAACCACUCGGCCACCUCGUCCACAAGUUCAAACGCCAUACAGUGCUAAAUUGUGACGAAACAGAACGAUAGCGUGUGUGUGUUUCUCUGCAUCCACGGCGUUAUCAGGACUGCUUUUUUAUUUGUCACUCGCAUGGGAGGAGACAUUUAGCUGUGUACUGUUUGUAACAGUCUAUAUAUCAAACCAGAAACUGUAGCCUACGUGGCAGCCUUGCAGAUUUCAUAUCAGUAUGUAACUGUAGCCUACAAUAUGACGGUCUUUCUCAUUCUUAAACUGGAGACCCUGCUUGAUUCUUUUAAAAUAGGAUUUUAUUCGUAUUUAAGCACAAAUUCUGACGGCAUUAUACAGAUUUACCAACAUGUGAAUUUGUGUGCCCCAGAGCAGGGUUUUUUCUUACUUACUUUUUUUUAGUUUCUCUCAAUACCUGGAAGAUUGUGUUAUUUGAUCCCAUAGACACUCAGCAGUUGAGCCAAGAUAUACCAAAUAUUGCUGUGUGCAUAUUUGUUUCUGAUGGAUUUGGCUGGGUGGUUCUGCUGUUCCACUCGAGACCACAUCUACCGGCGAUGAUGCAUCUUCCUCUAACCUUUACAGCAGAGAUCCUGCAAAAAAAUAUGAGAAAGAAAUACCUGCCUCCUGUGUUCUGUGACACCACGCAGACCACCUGACAAACCCUCAUACAAAAGGCAUACUGACUCAGACAACUUUGCUUCCCAAAAGGAUGACAGUGAACCCAACACCUCGGCCUCUGCAGGAAGCUGAGACGUCAUGAGGAUGUGUCAUAUCAGCUGGCACCACUUACUGGUUUACAUUCAUAAACAGAACCGUCUGUGAAAAUGGAACGCACACCACAGUAAAUAUAAUCCCAUUUAACUUGCAGGGCUAGAGGGAUUUAUUUGGUUAUUUGCCAGAAAGCACCUAAUGAAUGAUGUGAGUGUUCCUAUGAUCAUUUCUCACCCUAAAUUAGAAAUGCAUAAAGAAGAAGAGCAGAGAAGCAAGCCAUUUCAUUCAAGGGUUUUUCACCGCUGUAUUAGACUUGUAAAUCACCAUUAGGCUUUCAUUAAAGUGGACUAAUCAGGGCACUUUGUAUGAAAAAUAUAGACAGAAAUAAUGAAUCUAUUUAACCCUUUGAUGCACAAGCUAUGCAAACCCCUUCUAAUGCAGAACAUGGGUCAAAAAUUACCCAUACUCAUUUCCUAUGUAAUUUUAUGCAUGGCUCAGUGUUUCUUUGCUAUAUCUUUUGGAAUCCUUUUAUUUAAUCUAUUAAAAUUUCAAGCCAUUACUUUUAUUUCUUUAUACUUUCUUACUGUAUGAACAAACAUACAUUUUCACACAUGGGCCGCGUGUUUUCACUGUGGAAUUUGAUGGGAACUUUUUGUAACUGUACAUAAUAUUUGAAUAUUAGGUUAAGUUUAACUUGACCUUGACAUCCAUUUCUAGUGAGAAAGACAAAUAUGCCCAAUACUGUUAGCUAUCUAACUAGCUGUUGACAUUUUCUAUUCUAGCUAUCUUAUGUUAGCUAGGUCAGCAAAAUCAAACUCGAAACAACAGUAUAUACUUGAUCAACUGAUUGAUGUGCAUUUGAAAAAUGUUCUUGUGAUUUUGAUUUUCUUUAGCCAGUGUUAGUAUGGCUGGUCUCAGUCAUACUCCCGAAGUCUGCAAGCUAAUGGAAAAGGUCUGUGAGCCAGUGGGAAGAGAGCAAGGCCAAUACAAGAAAUCUAGACAGAAAGUGGAAUGUUUAACAGCAGAAAUCUGACUUUCAUCAAUAUGUCUAACUAACGUUAGCAUUUUAACAUUAGUGAGGAAUUAGAAAAAUCCGAGUGGAUUCAGUAUAAUGAUAACAUUAAACAUUAAUGUGCCAUUAAAGAAUUUCGCAUUCAAUACAGUUUGUCUCUGAAGUUACAUUACUGUUACCAUCCAAUUUUAAAAAGCAGUAUUUUAUGUAUAGCCAACGUUUUGAGAGUAGCAUAUGUUUACACACAUGAAGCAAAUUCACUGAAAUCAAGAGAAUAUAUAAUAAUAUAUUGCUAUGGCAACAGCAGUGGAUGCAGAUGCUGUAGCCUGUAGCUCCUUCAAACUCCACUAUAUUUUUGUUUUUCCUCAGUUUUUUCUUUCUAGCUUUAUUGCUAAAACGUGUAUACAUGUAGGUAUAUAUGUAGCCUAGGCUAUAUAUUGUUUUUAUUUAUUUUAUAUGUCACCAUGUUCUAAUAUACAUUUAAUUAUCUGCUGUGUGUGUGUCGCAUGAAAAGCCUACAAACUUUCACAACUUGUGUUGGAGCCUAUAAGCCUAAUGAAAAUAAACUGACACCUUGAUGUAACCGUG